UACGUAGGGGGCAAGCGUUGUCCGGAUUUAUUGGGCGUAAAGCGCUCGCAGGUGGUCCGCUGCGUCGUGCGUGAAAGACCCCGGCUCAACUGGGGGGCGUCGUGCGAUACGGGCGGACUGGAGGCCAGUAGGGGGAUGCGGAAUUCCGGGUGUAGUGGUGGAAUGCGUAGAGAUGUGGAGGAACACCGAUGGCGAAGGCAGCCCCCUGGGAUAACACUGACGCUCAUGCACGAAAGCGUGGGGAGCAAACAGG
rnacentral:rRNA from 1 species